rnacentral:misc_RNA from 1 species
AACCUAGCACACCUGCGGUGUGUACCUGCGGAAGGAUCAUUACCUAGAGUUGUAGGCUUUGCCUGCUAUCUCUUACCCAUGUCUUUUGAGUACCUUACGUUUCCUCGGUGGGCUCGCCCACCGAUUGGACAAAUUUAAACCCUUUGCAGUUGAAAUCAGCGUCUGAAAAAACUUAAUAGUUACAACUUUUAGCAAUGGAUCU